rnacentral:rRNA from 1 species
UACGUAGGGUGCAAGCGUUAAUCGGAAUUACUGGGCGUAAAGAGCGCGCAGGCGGUCGAUUUAGUCGCGUGUGAAAGCCCCCCGGCUCAACUGGGGAGGGUCACGCGAUACUGAUCGACUCGAAGGCAGGAGAGGGUAGUGGAAUUCCCGGUGUAGUGGUGAAAUGCGUAGAUAUCGGGAGGAACACCAGUGGCGAAGGCGACUACCUGGCCUGUUCUUGACGCUGAGGCGCGAAAGCUAGGGGAGCAAGCGGG